rnacentral:rRNA from 1 species
AGUGAACGCUGGCGGUAGGCCUAACACAUGCAAGUCGAACGGCAGCACAGUAAUAGCUUGCUCUUACGGGUGGCGAGUGGCGGACGGGUGCGGAAUACAUCGGAAUCUACUUUUUCGUGGGGGAUAACGUAGGGAAACUUACGCUAAUACUGCAUACGACCUACGGGUGAAAGCAGGGGAUCUUCGGACCUUGCGCGAUUGAAUGAGCCGAGGUCGGAUUAGCUAGUUGGCGGGGUAAAGGCCCACCAAGGCGACGAUCCGUAGCUGGUCUGAGAGGAUGAUCAGCCACACUGGAACUGAGACACGGUCCAGACUCCUACGGGAGGCAGCAGUGGGGAAUAUUGGACAAUGGGCGAAAGCCUGAUCCAGCCAUGCCGCGUGGGUGAAGAAGGCCUUCGGAUUGUAAAGCCCUUUUGUUGGGAAAGAAAAGCAGCAGGUUAAUACCCCGCUGUUCUGACGGUACCCAAAGAAUAAGCACCGGCUAACUUCGUG